CUAAAAUGAGCCCGGGUAUAAGGGGAAAUUAGACUUCCCUGUCUCCCUGGGGGAGUAGCACAGAAAUUGCCCCCGUCUGUAUGAUUUGACGUGUGAGGAAGGCCAGCUCGGUUUCCUGCUGGUCUCGGCACAGCAGCAGGGUAACUUAGUCCUCCUUCACUGCAGGGUGGGCCCCGGGUGCAGCUUCGGGUGCAGGAAAUCCACUGUGCUCGGGAGUGCAUGUGCCGGAGGUGCUCCGUGUGCUGAAGGUCAGUUUUGGUGCCUGUUCUAGGUGAAUGAUGUGCAGGAAAGCAAAGAGCGUUGCAGAUUUCAGGUUGGGAAAAUUGCUUCUGACGGUACCGCAUAGUGGCCAUCAGUGUCUACGUUUUGCCAGUAAAGAAAGAGAGUGUCAAAGAUUAAGCAGUUGGACAGCCUCGAGUCGCUUGGUGACUUUCUGCAAAAAUGAAAUAAUCCAAAGCAUUAUUUCCGCAAUCAAAAUCAAGAUCCCUGUACUACAGGAGUACCAGAAAUUGGAGGGAGCAUCGCUGUAGGGAGAGAUGAACUGUGGUUGGGAUCCUGGAUCAGGGCUGGCUGUGGGACCUCCGCUGUGUCCCUGGAUGCCUCCAAGCAGCUAUUCCCUUCCCAUACAAUGAAGAUUAUA
rnacentral:lncRNA from 1 species